AUUGAACGCUGGCGGCAGGCCUAACACAUGCAAGUCGAGCGAGCGGCGGACGGGUGAGUACUGUAUGGGGACUGCCCGAUAGAGGGGGAUAACUACUGGAAACGGUGGCUAAUACCGCAUACUGGCGGAUAACCCAUAUGGGAUUAGCUAGUAGGUAGGGUAAUGGCUUACCUAGGCGACGAACCCUAGCUGGUCUGAGAGGAUGAUCCGCCACACUGGGACGGAGACACGGCCCACACGCCGACGGAGGCAGCAGUGGGGAAUAUUGCACAGUGGGGGAAAGCCUGAUGCAGCCAUGCCGCGUGUAUGAAGAAGGCCCUAGGGUUGUAAAGUACUUUCAGUCGGGAGGCGUUACCGACAGAAGAAGCACCGGCUAACUCCGUGCCAGCAGCCGCGGUAAUAC
rnacentral:rRNA from 1 species